AUGAACGCUGGCGGCGUGCCUAAUACAUGCAAGUCGAGCGAACAGACGAGGAGCUUGCUCCUCUGACGUUAGCGGCGGACGGGUGAGUAACACGUGGAUAACCUACCUAUAAGACUGGGAUAACUUCGGGAAACCGGAGCUAAUACCGGAUAAUAUAUUGAACCGCAUGGUUCAAUAGUGAAAGACGGUUUUGCUGUCACUUAUAGAUGGAUCCGCGCCGCAUUAGCUAGUUGGUAAGGUAACGGCUUACCAAGGCGACGAUGCGUAGCCGACCUGAGAGGGUGAUCGGCCACACUGGAACUGAGACACGGUCCAGACUCCUACGGGAGGCAGCAGUAGGGAAUCUUCUGCAAUGGGCGAAAGCUUGACGGAGCAACGCCGCGUGAGUGAUGAAGGUCUUCGGAUCGUAAAACUCUGUUAUUAGGGAAGAACAAAUGUGUAAGUAACUAUGCACGUCUUGACGGUACCUAAUCAGAAAGCCACGGCUAACUACGUG
rnacentral:rRNA from 1 species